GACACAACAACGAUUCCAUUCAAUUAGAAGUUAAGAUUGCCACUUGGACACUUUGGGCUUCUCCUACCUUGAAGUCAACAGGCUAAGAAGAGAGUUACUUGGCUGGGGCGAUUGACCCAGAUUAUCAAGAUGAAAUCAGUCUACUACUCCACAACUGAGGAUAGGAAACUCACAAUUUUUCCAGCAAAACUUGUAUGUGAAAAUAUAAGCAAAAUGAUAAAUGUGACUGGCCGACAAGCAAAAAACAUUGUUUACCAUCAAACAGCACCAAAACUUCUGGCUGUGUUAUUACCAAUUUGAAUGGACCUUUGCCGAAAGUCCCUGAAUUUGUGGGAAUAGCCCUGUUCAAUGAACACCUGGACUAUCCUUUAAUGAUGUCUACAUCAAUGGAAGCCAAGCCACACUGCUAACUGAUGAGAGACCAGCUUGAAAGAGGGAGGACCUGCCAAUUGCCAUCAGCACAACUCCAGAUAUAUGGGAGUCAGGCUUUAGGGCAAAAACCGGGGAUCACAGAAUGCUUGCUCAAUCAACUUUGCUCAUCCAAAAUCACAAAAAUCGCCUCAAAAAAUGUUGAUGAUAAUUUAAUUUUCUUCACUCUCCAUGAAGAUGUUAGAUAAUGCUCACUCUGGGUGAGAAUAAAAGCCAGACUCAUCAAU
rnacentral:lncRNA from 1 species